rnacentral:ncRNA from 1 species
CGUCGUGAGGUGGAAUCUGAAGAAAACCGGAUUUUGGGAGUUGAACGGUCUCCCAAUGGGCAAAACUCUGGACUGACGAACAGGAAUCGCAUACAAGGCCGGAAGCGAGGGCAAGUUUGCCAAACAAAACAAGGCCCAAUAGCUACGCGGAAUCGUUUGCGGUAAAUGCGGCAGGUAAU